UACGUAGGCAGCAAGCGUUGUUCGGAAUUACUGGGCGUAAAGAGUGUGUAGGCGGCGCUCUAAGUUCGGUGUGAAAUCUCCCGGCUUAACUGGGAGGGUGCGCCGGAAACUGGAGUGCUCGAGCGUGGGAGAGGAAAGCGGAAUUCCUGGUGUAGCGGUGAAAUGCGUAGAUAUCGAGAGGAACACCUGCGGGCGAAGGCGGGGUUGCUGGGCCGACACUGACGCUGAUGCGCGAAAGCCAGGGGAGCGAACGGG
rnacentral:rRNA from 1 species